UCACACCCUGUUCUCUCCCUCCCUCACCAAUUCCGACGACCGGAGCUACGUUUCCGGCGACACCCGCACACCAGUCACCUCCCCCUCCUCCCUCAUUCACUCACAACACCCCUCACCUCCUUCUUCUCCGACGUGGCUCGGCCGACGACCAACCACCUCUUUUUCUCGAUCAGCACCACCGGUGGCGAGAGAGAGAGAGAGAGAGAUAGAGAGAGAGAGAAGCAGGCGGCAGCGACAGUAGACGUCGCAGACGACGGCGACAGACGCCGCAGACGGCGGUGGCGGUUCCGGUGUGUCUGGAUCAGAUUUCGUUUCAGUUCUGUCUUUCGGUUCCAGUCCAACCUAGUUCGGGUCGAGUCACACCAGUGGGCUCGGUUUGCAUUUGGGUCCAGCUUCAGCUCCGUUCCAGUCUCAGUUCAGACUCGGUUCAGAUUCGGUGUGAUGUGUGACUUGGGUUCGUUUGGCUCGGGUCAGGUCUAAUCGCAAGUCGGGUCCCCAUUCAGUUCGGGUCAGCGAGUUCAGUGCCGGGUUGUUAACGGGUCUGGUUCGGUAGUCGCGGCUCACGUCCAGUUCGGGUCAGAUUCGAUGUCUGGUUCUAGCUCGAGUCUCAGUCUAGUUUCUAUUCAGGUCGAACCCGGUCAAAGUCAGUCAAACCCGGUCAACGCACGGCCAAACCGGUUGACUGAUCGAUACGCGUUAAACACGAGACUCGGUUUGAUAAUGGGUGACCUCGGUGUUCCAUACUCCUAAUCUCAUACGCUCGUCGACACUUGGAUAAUCGGAAGACUUAGCAAUUCUGUUGACAGUCAAGAUGUUGAAGAAUCAAGUUAGGAUGGACUA